GAUGUACGCUGGCGGCGUGCUUAACACAUGCAAGUCGAACGGAAAGGCUCCUGCUUGCAGGGGUACUCGAGUGGCGAACGGGUGAGUAACACGUGGGUGAUCUGCCCUGCACUUCGGGAUAAGCCUGGGAAACUGGGUCUAAUACCGGAUAGGACGAUGGUUUGGAUGCCAUUGUGGAAAGUUUUUUCGGUGUGGGAUGAGCUCGCGGCCUAUCAGCUUGUUGGUGGGGUAAUGGCCUACCAAGGCGUCGACGGGUAGCCGGCCUGAGAGGGUGUACGGCCACAUUGGGACUGAGAUACGGCCCAGACUCCUACGGGAGGCAGCAGUGGGGAAUAUUGCACAAUGGGCGCAAGCCUGAUGCAGCGACGCCGCGUGGGGGAUGACGGCCUUCGGGUUGUAAACUCCUUUCGCUAGGGACGAAGCGCAAGUGACGGUACCUGGAGAAGAAGCACCGGCUAACUACGUG
rnacentral:rRNA from 1 species